rnacentral:rRNA from 1 species
AUUGAACGCUGGCGGAAUGCUUUACACAUGCAAGUCGAGCGGCAGCGCGGGGCAACCUGGCGGCGAGCGGCGAACGGGUGAGUAAUACAUCGGAACGUACCCAGUCGUGGGGGAUAACACAGCGAAAGUUGUGCUAAUACCGCAUACGACCUGAGGGUGAAAGUGGGGGACCGCAAGGCCUCACGCGAUUGGAGCGGCCGAUGGCGGAUUAGCUAGUUGGUGAGGUAAAGGCUCACCAAGGCGACGAUCCGUAGCGGGUCGGAGAGGACGGCCCGCCACACUGGAACUGAGACACGGUCCAGACUCCUACGGGAGGCAGCAGUGGGGAAUUUUGGACAAUGGGGGAAACCCUGAUCCAGCCAUUCCGCGUGAGUGAAGAAGGCCUUCGGGUUGUAAAGCUCUUUCGGCAGGAACGAAACGGUCGUCGCUAACAUCGAUGGCUAAUGACGGUACCUGAAGAAGAAGCACCGGCUAACUACGUGCCAGCAGCCGCCGUAA